UCCACGCCCUAAACGAUGCACACUAGUUGUUGCGAUGCUCGUCAUUGCAGUAAUACAGUUAACACAUUAAGUGUGCCGCCUGGGGAGUACGGUCGCAAGAUUAAAACUCAAAGGAAUAGACGGGGACCCGCACAAGCGGUGGAGCAUGUGGUUUAAUUCGAAGAUACGCGAAGAACCUUACCUAGACUUGAAAUCCUUGGAAUCCUGUAGAGAUACGGGAGUGCUAGUUUACU
rnacentral:rRNA from 1 species